rnacentral:rRNA from 1 species
GAAAUUGGCCAUACCACCCUGAAUGCACACAGUCUCCUCUGAUCUUGGAAGCCAAGUGCAGGGUCAGAACUGGUUAGUACUUACAUGGGAGAACUUGGAUUUAGAAGUUCUUGCUUACA